GACGUACUCCCUCCAUCCCAAAAUUCUUAUCUUAGAUUUGUUUAUAUAUGAAUCUAUUUAGUUAUAUUUUAGUAUAUAAGAUACAUACAUUUCUAGACAAACCUAAGAUAAAUUUUUUGGAACGAAGGAAGUACGUA
rnacentral:pre_miRNA from 1 species